AUGCACGCUGGCGGCGUGCCUCAUACAUGCAAGUCGAGCGAACGGACGAGAAGCUUGCUUCUCUGAUGUUAGCGGCGGACGGGUGAGUAACACGUGGAUAACCUACCUAUAAGACUGGGAUAACUUCGGGAAACCGUAGCUAAUACCGGAUAAUAUUUUGAACCGCAUGGUUCAAAAGUGAAAGACGGUCUUGCUGUCACUUAUAGAUGGAUCCGCGCUGCAUUAGCUAGUUGGUAAGGUAACGGCUUACCAAGGCAACGAUGCAUAGCCGACCUGAGAGGGUGAUCGGCCACACUGGAGCUGAGACACGGUCCAGACUCCUACGGGAGGCAGCAGUAGGGAAUCUUCCGCAAUGGGCGAAAGCCUGACGGAGCAACGCCGCGUGAGUGAUGAAGGUCUUCGGAUCGUAAAACUCUGUUAUUAGGGAAGAACAUAUGUGUAAGUAACUGUGCACAUCUUGACGGUACCUAAUCAGAAAGCCACGGCUAACUACGUG
rnacentral:rRNA from 1 species